GACGAACGCUGGCGGCGUGCUUAACACAUGCAAGUCGAACGGUAAGGCCCUUCGGGGUACACGAGUGGCGAACGGGUGAGUAACACGUGGGUGAUCUGCCCUGCACUUCGGGAUAAGCCUGGGAAACUGGGUCUAAUACCGGAUAGGACUCCUGGCUUCAUGGUUGGGGGUGGAAAGCUUUUGCGGUGUGGGAUGGGCCCGCGGCCUAUCAGCGUGUUGGUGGGGUAAUGGCCUACCAAGGCGACGACGGGUAGCCGGCCUGGGAGGGUGACCGGUCACACUGGGACUGGGAUACGGCCCAGACUCCUACGGGGGGCAGCAGUGGGGAAUAUUGCACAAUGGGCGCAAGCCUGAUGCAGCGACGCCGCGUGAGGGAUGACGGCCUUCGGGUUGUAAACCUCUUUCAGCUAUGACGAAGCGCAAGUGACGGUAGUAGCAGAAGAAGGACCGGCCAACUACGUGCCAGCAGCCGCCGUAA
rnacentral:rRNA from 1 species